rnacentral:rRNA from 1 species
UCCAGACUCCUACGGGAGGCAGCAGUGGGGAAUAUUGCACCAUGGGGGGAACCCUGCUGCAGCGACGCCGCUUGGGUGAUGCCGUACUUCGGUAUUUCCCGCCCUAUCAGCCUUGAAGAAAAUGCCGGUACCUGACUCCUCCGCCCCGGCUCCCUCCGUGCCAUCCUCCUCGGUAAUCCUUCUGGGGCAAGCGUUCUCCGGAUUUCCUGGGUGUAAAGGGAGCGUAGACGGCGUGCCAAGUCUGAUGUGAAAGGCCGGGGCGAAACCCCGGGACUGCAUUGGAAACUGGCAUGCUGGAGUGCCGGAGGGGCAAGCGGAAUUCCUAGUGUAGCGGUGAAAUGCGUAGAUAGUAGGAAGAACACCGGUGGCGAAGGCGGCUUGCUGGACGGUAACUGACGUUGAGGCUCGAAAGCGUGGGGAGCAAACAGGAUUAGAUACCCUCGUAUU